GGCGGUAUGGCCGAGCGGUAAGGCGGGGGACUGCAAAUCCUUUAACUUCGGUUCGAAUCCGGAUGUCGCCU
rnacentral:tRNA from 1 species